rnacentral:misc_RNA from 1 species
UACGGAGGUUCCUAGCGUUGUUCGGAAUUACUGGGCGUAAAGGGAGCGCAGGCGGAUCGUUAAGUCUAAAGUGGAAUCCCGGGGCUCAACCUCGGACGUGCUUUGGAUACUGGCGGUCUUGAGUUCGAGAGAGGAAAGCGGAAUUCAGGGUGUAGCGGUGAAAUGCUUAGAUAUCCUGAGGAACACCAGUGGCGAAAGCGGCUUUCUGGCUCGAAACUGACGCUGAGGCUCGAAAGCGUGGGGAGCAAACAGG